rnacentral:rRNA from 1 species
UUAUGAGGGCGUGCGGCGUGCUAUACAUGCAGUCGAGCGAAUGACGAGGAGCUUGCUCCUCUGAUUUAGCGGCGGACGGGUGAGUAACACGUGGGUAAUCUGCCUGUAAGACGGGGAUAACUCCGGGAAACCGGGGCUAAUACCGGAUAAUAAGAAGAAACGCAUGUUUCUUUUUUGAAAGUCGGUUUCGGCUGACACUUACAGAUGAGCCCGCGGCGCAUUAGCUAGUUGGUGAGGUAACGGCUCACCAAGGCGACGAUGCGUAGCCGACCUGAGAGGGUGAUCGGCCACACUGGGACUGAGACACGGCCCAGACUCCUACGGGAGGCAGCAGUAGGGAAUCUUCGGCAAUGGGCGAAAGCCUGACCGAGCAACGCCGCGUGAGCGAUGAAGGCCUUCGGGUCGUAAAGCUCUGUUGUUAGAGAAGAACAAGUACGAGAGUAACUGCUCGUACCUUGACGGUACCUAACCAGAAAGCCACGGCUAACUACGUGCCAGCAGCCGCGGUAAUACGUAGGUGGCAAGCGUUAUCCGGAAUUAUUGGGCGUAAAGCGCGCGCAGGCGGUCUCUUAAGUCUGAUGUGAAAGCCCACGGCUCAACCGUGGAGGGUCAUUGGAAACUGGGAGACUUGAGUGCAGGAGAGAAAAGUGGAAUUCCACGUGUAGCGGUGAAAUGCGUAGAGAUGUGGAGGAACACCAGUGGCGAAGGCGGCUUUUUGGCCUGUAACUGACGCUGAGGCGCGAAAGCGUGGGGAGCAAACAGGAUUAGAUACCCUGGUAGUCCACGCCGUAAACGAUGAGUGCUAGGUGUUGGGGGGUUCCACCCUCAGUGCUGAAGUUAACACAUUAAGCACUCCGCCUGGGGAGUACGACCGCAAGGUUGAAACUCAAAGGAAUUGACGGGGCCCGCACAAGCAGUGAGCAUGUGGUUUAAUUUCGAAGCAACGCGAAGAACCUUACCAGGUCUUGACAUCCUCUGACCACCUCUAGAGAUAGAGCUUUCCCCUUCGGGGGACAGAGUUG